rnacentral:rRNA from 1 species
CCAGCCAGAUUCAGGACCUCCGUCAGUUCGGGGAGUUCGGCGAUGUAAAUCCUUCGGUCUGCGAUUCUGCCACUUUUACCUUUAUGCAGGCCAAGACCAUGUUAGACACCUUCCACGGAGAGGCGGAAGGCUGUUUUCUUUAUUCACGGCACUGGAAUCCCAGCAACAAGUAUCUGGCCGAUGCCAUGGCUGCCAUGGAAGGCACCGAAGCCGGCUGGGUAACCGGCAGCGGGAUGGGGGCCAUCACCUCAACGAUUCUCCAUCUGAUUAAAUGCGGCGAUCACAUUGUUUCAAGCAUUACCACUUAUGGCGGAACAUUUGCCUUUCUGGCAAACUAUCUUAAGAAAUUCAAUGUGGAAGUUUCUUUUGUGGAUAUAACUGAUCUGGAUGCGGUAAAAGCUGCAGUAAGGCCUAAUACAAAACUGAUCUAUACAGAGAGUAUGACCAAUCCUUUGCUUCAGAUUUCUGAUAUUCCGGCACUUGCUGAAAUUGCCAAUAAGCAUGGGAUCAAACUGGUGGUUGAUAAUACCUUUACUCCCAUGAUCAUCAGUCCGGCCAGGCUGGGCGCGCAUAUCGUGGUAUAUAGCCUGACGAAGUUUGUAAACGGAAAAAACG